GCUUGUAAUAAAAGUUUGAAAUAGCAGGACUGGAGGUUGAGCACCUGGUCCAUUUUGGCGAGGAGGGUUUCAAGCCGCGGUCAGCGUGCGAAUCAGCGCUGGCCUGAACUCAAUUCCAGGCCCUUAAAAAAAUGACUUUCAUGCAAUUCAGAGUUGGGGUGGUGAUCAAAACGUGCCUGGAGGGUCCUGACUGUCCUUCAGCUCCCCAACAGGACUGAACAAAGGACUCUCUUCCUUCCUAAAACAGUUGAUGCAUCUUGCUUUUGGCUUGGAAACAUGAAUGUCACUUGUAUGAAUGGUUUUCUUCUGUGAUGUCUAAAUGGUGUCAUUUGCUCCAGAUGCCCGC
ensembl:lncRNA